ensembl:lncRNA
UGUAUUUAAAAGAUGGCCGUCACCAGUUAGUACAAGUAACCUCACAGCGGUAAUAUGAUUGGUCAGAUCAUUGAAUUAAACAGGCUCCAACAGCAUAUACAUGGUGCAGAGGUCUAGUUCAGGUGAAGCUAGCCGACAGCUAGCAGCUCCAGCCACCUGUGUCACCAUCCACCUGUCAGUCAAAUAGGCCACACCCCUAAUAAUGGUGAAAAAGUUUUUUUAUGAGGCUGUAAACAUGUCUACUUCUGCUCUAAUAUUAAAACGGUAAACAUAGAAGUCUAUGGAGCCUCUGGUGGACAUUACAGGAACUGCAGCUUUUUGACACUUAGAUUUGUUGGACUGCAGGUAUAAAAACUUUUAGGAAGGAGAACAGGCUCCAGUCCACCGGGCACAGACUGCUACACACAGCGCUGCAGUGGAAGCACAUUUUCUCAUGUGUGCUGAUGCUGUCAGUAUAUGAAGCUGAUAGCACUCGUGUACCUGUGCACAGCAGCUGCAGCUGUCUGCCGUCAGUGUGUUACAGCGAGUCGAACAUGACGGAGCCUGAAGGACGGAGGAGGAUCUGAUCUGUGUUCAGUCAUGUCGGCCGCAGCCUGCAGUGCAGAGAUCCACACAGGAAUGUCGAAAACACAGCGAGCGGCUUCAUUACACCCACAGGAUCACAGAAACCAUGGCAACGUGUGUGUGUGUGUGUGUGGGGGGGGGGCACGGACAGCAGGUGGUCUGACGCAGCAGAGCAGCAGCACCCCCGCAGCUCUCAGAUGGUUCGUCCCACACAGGAGCAGAGCAGAGGGAACGGCCCACCUCUGCAGCAGGGAGGGGGGAGGACAGGAAGCUGGCUAAACGCUUCAAGCCCACUUACCAACCAUGGCUGAAUGAAUCCACUCGCACCCUCAGGCGUGAACGUCGCCGAGCCGAGAGGAAAUGGAAAAGACGAACUUCAAGUGUCCCUGGAAAUCCUGCAUAACUGCCGGUCAAAAUAUCAGAAGACUGACAAAACUGCAAAAGCUUCUUAUUGUUGAACUUAUUGCUAACAACAGUCACAAGCCUCAAGUUCUGUUUAAAAUCUUUAAUUCAGUUAUUAAUCCCUGAGGGAUGCCUCCCCGGCUCUCUGUGAAGAAUUCUUACAUUACUUUAUAGAUAAAAUUUCAGCACUGAGGGCACCAUAUCUACCAGCAGUUAACCAAACCCCAGUUUCUGAAUGCUCUGGGGUUUUUCAAUAGUUUGAGCCCGUACCUUUUUCGACUCUGAAAGAAAUAAUUGAUCCUAUGAGAAGCUCUAAUACGCUUCCUUCCCGCAUUAUUAAGGAAGCUCUGACUACUAUCGAUCCCUCUAUCUUACUUCUAACGAACUCUUCACUGUCAUCAGGCUGUGCUCCGACUGCCUUCAAACACACAACCGUACAACCUGUAAUCAAGAAAAGCAACGCUGA